rnacentral:rRNA from 1 species
AUCCCAACAGCUAGCCCCAACCAACCAAUCAACAACCCACAUUAAUACCCCCGCAUAAAGCAACCACCCCAAGCCAAACCAUUUUUCCCCCUAAGUACGGGAGACGGAACAGGAAUAUGGCGCCAUAGAGAUAGUACCGCAAGGGAACGCUGAAAGAGAAUUGAAACAACCCAUUCAAGACCAGAGAAGCAGAGAUUACACCUCGUACCUUUUGCAUCAUGACUUAGCAAGCAGACCCAAGCAAAGAGCCCUUUACGUUUGAACCCCCGAAACUGUACGAGCUACUCCGAGACAGCCUGUGUAGGGCGAACCCGUCUCUGUGGCAAAAGAGUGGGAAGAGCUCCGAGUAGAGGUGACAGACCUACCGAGUACAGUUAUAGCUGGUUGCCCGAGACACGAAUAGAAGUUCGGCCUUUUGACUUCUUUUACCAAGAAGGAGGAUUCUCCACCCCCGGCCCAAAGAGCAUCAAAAGAGUUAUUCAAAAGAGGGACAGCUCUUUUGAACUAAGAUACAACUUUUUUAGGAGGGCAAAGACUAAAUCUAGCAAGGGAUACGCCCAGGUGGGCUUAAAAGCAGCCAUCCUAACAAAAAGCGUUAAAGCUAAAGCGUGAGGCCCCUAUAAUUCUAGCCAUCUUUUCUUAUCCCCCUAGCCCUAUCGGGCUAUCCCAUGCCAUCAUGGGAGAAAAACUGCUAACAUGAGUAACAAGGGAGCUCACCCCUCCCUCCCUGCCAAUGUGUAAUCAGAACAGACUCUGACUGAAAAUUAACGCCCCCGAAGAAGGAACUGGGAUAUAAUUAGAACAACUAGAGAUCCCCCAAAAACAAGCGUUAGCCCCACACUGGAAGGCCAUGGGAAAGACAAAAGGGGGAAGAAGGAACUCGGCAAACACUAGCCUCGCCUGUUUACCAAAAACAUCGCCUCUUGCAUGCCCAGUAUAAGAGGUCCCGCCUGCCCUGUGACGCGAGUUUAACGGCCGCGGUAUUUUGACCGUGCGAAGGUAGCGUAAUCACCUGUCUUUUAAAUAGAGACCUGUAUGAAUGGCAUAACGAGGGCUAAGCUGUCUCCUUUCCCCAGUCAGUGAAAUUGAUCUGCCCGUGCAGAAGCGGGCAUACCUACAUAAGACGAGAAGACCCUAUGGAGCUUUAGGCCUCCAGACAGACUAAGUUAAUCACCCCCACCACGGGACCAAACCAAAUAUUUCCUGCCUGACUGCCUUUGGUUGGGGCGACCACGGAGUAACAUAAAACCCCCGGGAGGAAUGGACAUAUGUCCUUAAGCUAGAGCCACAGCUCAAGCAACCAGAACUUCUGACCACCAAGAUCCGGCAACGCCGAUUAACGGACCCAGUUACCCUAGGGAUAACAGCGCAAUCCUCUUUUAGAGCCCAUAUCGACAAGAGGGUUUACGACCUCGAUGUUGGAUCAGGACAUCCUAUUGGUGCAGCCGCUAUUAAGGGUUC